UACGUAGGGAGCAAGCGUUGUCCGGAAUCAUUGGGCGUAAAGCGCGCGUAGGCGGCCCGGUAAGUCCGCUCUGAAAGUCCAGGGCUUAACCCUGGAAAGCGGGUGGAUACUGCCGGGCUAGAAUCCGGAAGAGGCGAGUGGAAUUCCUGGUGUAGCGGUGAAAUGCGCAGAUAUCAGGAGGAACACCGAUGGCGAAGGCAGCUCUCUGGGCCUGUUCUGACGCUGAGGAGCGAAAGCUGGGGGAGCGAACAGG
rnacentral:rRNA from 1 species